rnacentral:rRNA from 1 species
GACGAACGCUGGCGGCGUGCCUAAUACAUGCAAGUAGAACGCUGAAGGAGGAGCUUGCUUCUCUGGAUGAGUUGCGUACGGGUGAGUAACGCGUAGGUAACCUGCCUGGUAGCGGGGGAUAACUAUUGGAAACGAUAGCUAAUACCGCAUAAUAGCAGUUGUUGCAUGACAACUGUUUGAAAGGUGCAAUUGCACCACUACCAGAUGGACCUGCGUUGUAUUAGCUAGUUGGUGGGGUAACGGCUCACCAAGGCGACGAUACAUAGCCGACCUGAGAGGGUGAUCGGCCACACUGGGACUGAGACACGGCCCAGACUCCUACGGGAGGCAGCAGUAGGGAAUCUUCGGCAAUGGACGGAAGUCUGACCGAGCAACGCCGCGUGAGUGAAGAAGGUUUUCGGAUCGUAAAGCUCUGUUGUAAGAGAAGAACGAGUGUGAGAGUGGAAAGUUCACACUGUGACGGUAUCUUACCAGAAAGGGACGGCUAACUACGUG